CGGGCAGUGGCCCUGCGCGGCUCCCGCUGGGGCCGGGGGCUUCUCCGUUUCCAGAGCGGGGUGCGAGACGCCCUGUGGGACGGUGCCGGCUGCGGCGCGGCCUCUCCGUGCCUCUGGCUCAUGGCGUCUGUUCCAGGCGCUUCUGGAACUCAGCGCAAAGGCACUUGUCCAGCCCGCCGGACAUGGCCUCCGCAGGCGCCUGCCGCCGGCCUGGGAGCAGCCCCGGCAGCGGGGCACCCACCGCGGGGACGCUGCGCUGCUUGUGCGGCUCGCUCAGAGCCCUGGCUGGGACGGGGAAGCCACAGCGGCUCUGGGCUGGUGGUGUGGUGCAGCGCUCCCACGGCGCUGUUUGUGCAUGGGCUUCUCCUCACCUUUGGCCCUGUUUAAUCUCUUGUUUGGCAGAACAACACAGUGCGCUUCUCCUUUGUGUGUCUCCAUCUCCAGUUACUUGAACUUGCUCCAAAGACUGCUAAAGGCCACGGGAAAGCUGGGGAAGCGUCCUGGCUGCGCUUGCGCUCUGGCUGCCUGGAGGCACAGCCGCAGUGCCUGUGCAGCUUGGCAGCGCCCAGUGUCACCAUGAACAGGGCAAGGCUGGCCCUCAGAGUUGGGGAGCUUAACCGGCUCCAGAAAACAUCCCCACUCUCCCACCAGGAGCAGCAAAUCUGGCUGGCAGGCAAAAGCGAAUGUAGGUACGUCUGAAAGCUGUUGAUUUCAACAGUGGCUCAAGAGUCACGAAAGUCUUUGUGGAGAAGCGUUACAGGCUGCACAGGGGUAGCAGGAACUAAAGCCUGUUUUUAGGGUUCUGCUACUUUAGGGGAAUGGAAACCAGAAUUUCACUUGCUCCAAACCAGUUCAUACUUGUCUUAUGGCAACUCAGACUUCUCCUCAAAAAUGUGCCAGAGCGGGUACGAUGAUUCAGCUUACUGUGGUUUUAUGUCCUAAAGUACUGGUCCCUUGCCAUUACUCCUGCCUUCGAGAGGUUGAAACUACUUGUGCUAUUACCUCAAUUAUUUUUUUCAAGUAUUUAUAUAGGCAGUGUGGGAAAAGCAAUGAGAGUGAUUACACUUGAAAUGAGAACUCUGCUUGGAUGAGUUUUUGAAUCGCUUAAUGCUGUGCCUAAACUGCAUCAUCAGGCAAAUGGAGGGAAACUCCCAAAUGGCACAAAGCUUUUGCCUCCACCUCCCACAACACAUGCCAGCCCUGGGAUCUCCAACCAACACAUGGAGGAGUGUGGCAGGGCUCCAGUGCUCCCAGCUGCCUCCUUUUUCCCUCCCCUAGAUCACUUUUCUUCCCCUGCAGUAUUUCAUAAGACCAUGGGUCUGGCUGAAUAGCAACCAGAGUGGAAAAAGACUGUAUGUGAAAAUUCAUACAUUUGUUCCCAAAGAUGAUAAUGCAGCAAGUGCUUUUAUCCCGAGAACAUUGUUUUUUAAGUCAGAUAUCCCUGAAUGUCUUUGGAGCCCAGCAGGUUCUCUACCAUUCCUGCUCUGCUUCCCAGAAGUACUUCCCCUUCUUCCUCCCUGAUGUUACUUUGGCUCUGACUUCCAUGAGCCUAAAUAGGAGAUCAGAAAUUACUUUCCAGAUCGUAACUGGAGAGUGAAGCUAUUAAAAGGGAAGUGAGUCCACCAGAAAUUCAGUAAGGGCCCUGAUUCCCCGUAUUCAUUCUAAGCCUAUACUUACCUUUUUCUCUUUCCAUAUCCCGUUUCUACGAAGAUACAAUACCUGGGCGUUAUAGCAGCAGAGAAGGAAACUUGGUUUCUUCCACUCUUCCUGACAGUAAAAAGAUAAGGAAAACGCAACAACAAAGGAUUCUGGCUAAAACAGCUGCCCAGAACUGAAAUGCUUUUUCUCCCAGCAGGGCUGGAGCUUAGCACAACAGUAAAGUCGCAAGAAUGUAGCCUGGUUCAGCUUCUAAAUACUGCAGAAAGCUAGGACACCUAAGCUACAGAUAAACUUGCAAAGUAGGAAAUAGCUGAUUUUAAGGUAAGCAAGAAUGAGUUAAAGUAUAAAGAAACACUGACUGAAGUCCAUUCUUAUCUCAUUCAACUACUUGAUAGAGCAGGCAAAAUGUGUCCAAUUAUAAGUAAAUCCUCCUACCUCAGAUGCAGGUGAGCUGCUUGGGGUAAUUAAGAAAAAUUGUUCAAGAGCAAUGGUCCUUGUAAUACUUAGAAGAUCAAAGAAUCAAGUAGAUGAGGCAGAAAUUACUACCAAUUAUUUUGAAGCUAUACUAAUAUACCUUCCUUACUGAAAUCUUCUCUUUCCCGCUUAAUAUUUAAAAUGAAAGUGACAGUUCUUUUGAUAGUUCUGCAGACGCUGCAUGUGCCGCAUGGCUGCGCAUGGAUUUUGGAGCCACCCAUGAUGUGGGGAAAACACUGCAGCCCUCACGCAGUCUCUGGUUACCAAGGCAAAGGCAGGAAAUUUGUAUCCAUGACCCGCAGUAACAGCUAUUUCUAACACUUGGGACAUCAAAACAGUACUGCCAGCCCUCUGCCCCAGAGCACACAAAGUACAGCUUUGCAGACCUCCAUCUUCCUUGGCUUGAGCACAUCUUGAAUUCUCUUAUCAGCUACAUUUCCAGGAAAAGACAGUGUCCUGGCUCUUCUCCAAGUUAUCCGUGGACUGCUUGAGAGUAAGAUCAGAAAGCACGCCUCCUGCAGCUGGGACACUUUCUAAGAAGGGAGAAAUUGAACAAAACACAUCCCAGAGCUGCUGUUUAUCGCCCUGCAGACAAGCAAGGAGGCACAUGGCCUUGGAAAGGCAUGUGCAGUACUAAGUCAAGGUGAAGAUAACAGCAGAAUUUACAGGAUUUGAGACCCUUGGCCCAGUGAAGCACAACCGAGGUUUGCAAGGAGCCUUUCUGUGUUUCUGGGACUGGUGGUGACUGUGAAGCUGGAUGGCUUACGGAGAAGCCUACAAUUUAAUGUCAAGCAUUUUAGGAGAGACUCAGCUUCUUGUUGCAGUUGGUGUGGGCAAGAACAUACCCUUGGAUUAGGAAUUUUUCAAAAGUUGUUACUGAGAUAGGAGCUGGUAACUAUGGUUUCAGAUGUCUCCUCUCAGGGAUACUGCUGCUCGCAGAUGAAGGGAAGCCUGGUUUUGCAUCAUGAAGCAAAGGACUACAGGGUCGUGUGGUUAUGAACGCAAGCACUAAGCUUUCAGAGAGGGAGUUAAAUAAAAACAUGCACAACUCUACCUACAAGUAACCAUGGCAGGAAGUGUAAAGACUUGUCUGAGAAGUGGAGUUCCUUUGAACACAAGCAGACAGCGGCUCACAUAUAUGGGGCAAAUGGGCCAAGUAAAGCGAAUUACCUUCCUCUAUAAGCCCACAAGCCAAAACACAGCUGGUAGCACUAAUAUUAGUCCUGUCAAGCCUAGCAGUCUUCAUUUAUUAUGCACCCUGCAAAUAAUUAUACAUACAGUUAAGCUUACAGCUCAGAAGCUGCAUUCAGCAGUUGUCAGGCUACCUUCCUCACUGGUGCAGAUCCUUUGACCUCAUUGGACUCACAUCAGGAGUGAAUCUGGCCCUUUGUAUUUUCAGGAUAAAUCAUAGGACUUUCUCAUCUCCCGAUCUUGGGAAUAUAAACUGCUCCUCCUUUGGCUGUCAUCUCGAUCUGAAUUAGGUUUUGUUUCAGGACCCCGCCUUGCCUGCCUUAAAGGCUGUGUGGAGUUCUCCUGGUGAUUAGAGCAACUUCCCUAGAGGGCUUAAAUUAGGAUUCCUUUCCCACAUUUUGCAAAGUUGCCUUCCCUUUAGUGAAAAUUAAAGCAAACGUACUCUCUCCCCACCAUGCAUUAUUAAAAGUUAAACAGGAGCUGUCACUUGGUGGAGGAAUGAUGGCCUGUAAAACAAACUUGGACUCUUUAGGGAAUAGUGACAUUAAGUGUCACAUUUAUAAACUCCCAUCCGUGCUGGCAUUAACACCUGCAGGAAUCCAUUCGGCAGUCAGUACCCUUGAGCUAUUCCUUUGUAGGUUACAUUUAGGUCACAUUUUCUUUGUGAACACUAAUGCAAGAGAAUUACUUUUUAUCUUCAUAAAACCAAGAUUCGGGGUUGGGCGAGGAGAACAAACCGACAAUGUCAAAACAAGUCAAAAGCUGCUCUGUUCCUCUCUAUUCCUUGGCAGAAAGAUGCAGUGUGCUUUUAAGGAACAGACUGAGGGACCCUGCUGAAGUUACUUCUGUCCUUGGUUUCUAGAGAGGUGCAUCUCACCCCUGGCAGCUAUAGGGCCUGUGUCCCUGCCCCGACAGUAUCCAUCCGUGCUCUGGGCACUGCAAAUCCCUGGUCUGCCCAUCGUGGCUCAGCUGGGAGACACCUUGCAAGAAAACCUGCUGUAACCCACUCACCAGGAAAGGUUUGCCUUUUUCACAUUAAGGCAUGGCUGUCUCGGCGGGGAGUAGCUGCCAGGCAGAAGAGGGGAUGCUCUCCCCGAGCUGAGCUAGGCACAGCACAUGGCCUCUAGCUGUAGUGCAGUCACAGUUCCUGCUGCAUCACCCUGCUCUGUGCUCAGAGCCUGGCAAGCACAUCAGGGCACUUUAUUUUUAUGUACCAACCUUCAGGACAGCGCUGAGAGCUGGUCCUUCUUUGCUGUAAUGAGCAACUGAAACCUGCUAGGCACGCAACUGAAACAGGAGAAGAGAAAACAAAAAAAAAAACCCAGAAUGCCUUAAUUUGGGGCUCACACCUGCCUGAAUUCCAGAACUUUGGUCUGUGCCCUCCUUGCCUGAGUUAUCCUGGCUGAAUGCUGCGCUCAGGCAGCGUUGAAAUGAAACUAAAUGUAAUUCCUAAGAGGUAAAUUGAGCAUGAAUGCUCAGCACUAAUCCAAACUACUAAUACUGCAUGCACUUACAGCUGAGCAAUAAACUGUUUUCUCAUCCCAUAAGAAAAAGCUUUCACCAUUUUAAGAAGUGCUUGCCCAGUGCAGAGGGUGACACAAGUUCUUUCCGAUUUGUUUGAAGUUUUUCUGCAAACACGCAGGUGUGAGCCCCGUUCAGAUUAGGCUGUAGCUCGUCAUCAGGCUUCUGCCCAAGUGUCUGCCUCUGGCUUGAAGCAAGCAAGCAAAUACACCGAUAAACCCCAUUUCCAUCAACUUGCCAGCCUCUCCUUGAUGGUGGUUUUCAGCCGGUACACCUUGAAGCUGGAGUGUCCUUCCCAAGUGAGGUGCAGAAAUGGCACGCUGCUAUCAGUGGGACUGGCCUCAGCUACUCCCUGGGAAUAGCAGCAAUUCUCCCCCAUUACCUGGGACAUCAUUAUUGCUACUCUGCAAUAGGACUCGCUAAUCUUUAUGGGCCAGCCCUGUAAUCAGGAGAGCUCAAUAACACUGACUCGCCCUCCUGCACCGCCAUCUGCACUGGGAAUUGCCCUACCCUGGCCACAGCCCUGGUGAACCAGGACAGCCCUGAAACCAGGUGGGGGGAUGAACGCUGCAACCAGUGGGAAACACUUCAAGCAGGGUGGAAAACAGUAAAACCAUGGUGUUUGGUGUCUGUGCGUGAGCGAGAGUUACAGCCCGCUGGAUGCCCUGCUGAGAGAGAACAGGCAGUAACUCGGCGUCCCAUGGCACAGACCUCUCUUCCCAGAGCAGGAGAAAAAGGGGUUGAACCUCAGUGGUUCGUAGUAAGCUAUUUUCAGCUUACGCAUUCAUUAUUGCCAAGAUCUGCCAUCCAAAAUGCCUACAUAUCAUGCAAAAUGUGGAACUAGAUACGUGCUGCCCAUUGUACAUCAAAGUAAUUGAUUUUUUUAUAAUGGAAACUGCCUGAUGAUUCACUGGGGUAAAUCAAGCAAAACAGUAGAAAGACAAGACAGAAAAUAGGAGGAGAACCAGGACCGGUAAUAAAUCGUGAUAGAUGGUACUCAGUAUAUUGCUAUAGCAGUAAGUCAAUGGAGUGCUAAGCUGCAUAAAUGAAAGAUAAUGUGUUUCAUCUCUGCAGGGUGUUGCUCAGGCUGUAUCUAUUAACAGGAUUCCUGGUUCUGCAGAAAAUACACACAGCAACAGGUUUAGUCAUAUUAUCCUGAUAAAUCAGUUCUGUAUUAAGAUUUCAGGAGUUACUUUGCCAAAAUGGAGGGGGGAAAUUAAUAUUCUUCAUUACUGCAGCUACAGGGAAACACGCACAGAUACAGAAAAAUACUCUUUACUGGCAUACCGAGGUAUGUGGAAGCGGAAGCUUAAAUUCUCCUGGAACGAUGGGGUGGUAGGGCAGUUUGCUCUUUCUGUGAUUUCCAGGGAUUAAAGUGAGCUUCCUCUUGCUUAAGACCUACAUGAAUAAGGCUACACAGGGAAACAGACUACUGGUUUCUUUCCUCCCUCUGUAUGCUUGUAUAAAUCCUGAUACUCUACAGCAGCGCUAGUGUGGGGGAAGAACAGCCCUCGUCUCUUCCCCUUUGCGGCAUUACACACUGAGAACAAGUAUGAGACCCACGGGAAAAUCCAGCCUCUGGCAGGCAGAGGAACCAAAACCUUCACGCCCAAAUAGCAGUGAGACACGUCACGUACUCCAGCCACUCCAAGCUCCCAGCAUUUUUCCUAUAACAGGACAAGUACGUGGGGUUUUGGCUGUUGCCCUCAACAACUGGGUCCCCGUGCUCAGCUGCCUAGUGAAUCACUGUUGCUUACUUCUUCUUCACCCUUGAACAAGGAUUUUCCACCCCCCAAACCCGCAGCUUUGGCAAAGGGCUCCCCGAGGCUGCUCCGAAGCCCAGACUUAGCAGAGGUCCCAGCUUGCUGCUGGGAUCCCAACAGGCACUUGCUGCGGUUGUAUCUCCCUCCACCAAAGCUGGGCAGCCCCACCACACGUGCUGGCACGGCUGCAAGGAGCAGGAUAGAUAAGGUUUAAGAAACACAUUUGGCGCUGUGGCUGCCUGGCUGAGGUGUGCGGAUUUGCCCCUGGCCCUACCCGCGCUCCAGGUGGAGCACGGUCACCUCCGUCAGCCAUGAGCUGCUGGACGGGCCAGCAGCGCAGCAGGGGAGCAGCUCACCCAGCUGCCGCCACUUCUUAAAAUAGAGACAUCCAGGUGCAAAUGAGUAAGGGUAUUGCUUUUCUGGUGUAAGAGGGUGAGUUACUCUGGCUGCAAUAUUAAAUAGCACAGAUGCAAGCCAGCUGUUAUUCUUGCUCGAGAAUUAAUUGCUUCACUAAACCACACCAGCUUUUCCUCCAGCUUUCUUCUCUUCCCUCACUAUCCUCGCCAAACAUCAGUGGAUACAACAAGAGAGUGAAGAAAACUCCAGUUUCUGAACGGCUCUUUUGCAAGAAGACGCUUUUUCCCCUCCCUGGCUUGGGCAAGUCUCCUGUCCCACCUGGUGGUUUAGUCCCCAUCCUUCCUAGACCUGGGACUACGACCUGCUGUCCUGCGUCUUUCCCAGCAGAGCACAGCAGCUGUGGAGGGAUGUGGGGCUGAAGUGGUUCCAAAAGCACCAAAAUCAAAGCCUCGGUGAGGCGCUCCUGUAACCCACGGCGAGGCCGGGAGUAGCAAAGCCUUACAAAUCGUCAGCGGGCUGCGAAAAGGCUUCACUAACACAGUUUAGAGAACUUGCUGGCAAGUGAACAAGUAUAAUUCAUCAGUGUGAGGGCAUAAUCCUCAUAUAAGACUAUAAAUCGUUUAGUCCCCCCCUCCCCUUUUUUGUGCCUGGGAUUACGUUGUACAGAUUCUAGAAAUGCAGUAUCUGUGACUUGCUGUUGCCGAAGAAGCAAGGGGCGGUUCUGCCUGAAAACUGUCUGUGGUCCCUGACCACGUGGGAGAGACGCUGGGAUUUGUCCCACAAAAUGGAGUAACCCCCUGAGCCCACCUACGUCCGGAAUAACUGCCAGCACGAUGGCAGCCUUCAGUAAUACUUCUGUAUGUUCUUAAGGUUUCUGCAGAGCCGUCUUCUCAUCAGGGGCCAGGGCUGAAGUUCUGUAGGGGCGGUGAGGUGACGACCCACCGCAGGACGGGGUACGCUCGUUCUUAUCGGGGCCCCUGGUUGCUGUGGGUGCCUUGCCCCCUAAUCCAUCGUUCCCUGGAGUGUGUUUGAGCGUUCCAGCCCUCUGAGAAGCCUCGCAGGUAGCUGAGACACACACACCAUGGGAACACACAGCUGCCGCAGACCUCCAACACAGCGAGGCAGAACCCCUGGGGAUGCCGGCGGCCACGUGUAACGCUUCCUGCCCGGCCACGCGCACCGGCCCUGCACCACGGCGAGCGGCAGGCUGUCAGCCAGCAGCUGGACACGGCCUCGCUUGCUCCCAGCUGCUCGAGGGGCCUCACUGCAAAGUCACCAGCACCGGCCACAGGGGUCCUGGGCGGCCGCUGUGACCGCCGGCCCAGCCAAGCGCCCAGCGGCCUUUCAAACCCCCGGUAAGGUGAGACAACACUGCCAUUGGCUAAUACAUGAGCC